AUUGAACGCUGGCGGCAGGCCCAACACAUGCAAGUCGAACGAGUGGAGGACGGGUGAGUAAUGUAUGGGAAACUGCCUGAUGGAGGGGGAUAACUACAGGAAACGGUAGCUAAUACCGCAUACCAUCAGAUGUGCCCAGAUGGGAUUAGCUAGUUGGUGGGGUAACGGCUCAACAAGGCGACGAUCCCUAGCUGGUCGUAGAGGAUGAACAGCCACACUGGAACUGAUCCACGUUCCAGACUCCUACUUAGGGCAGCAGUCGUGAAUAUUGCACAAUGGGCGCACGCCUGAUACAGCCAUGCCGCUUGUAUGAAGAAGGCCUUCGGGUUGGAAAGUACUUUCAGCGGUGUGGCGUUACCCGCAGAAGAAGCACCGGCUAACUCCGUGCCAGCAGCCGCGGUAAUAC
rnacentral:rRNA from 1 species